rnacentral:rRNA from 1 species
UACGAAGGGGGCUAGCGUUGUUCGGGCUUACUGGGCGUAAAGCGCACGUAGGCGGACUCUUAAGUCAGGGGUGAAAUCCCGGGGCUCAACCUCGGAACUGCCUUUGAUACUGUGAGUCUCGAGACCGGAAGAGGUGAGUGGAAUUCCUAGUGUAGAGGUGAAAUUCGUAGAUAUUAGGAAGAACACCAGUGGCGAAGGCGGCUCACUGGUCCGGUUCUGACGCUGAGGUGCGAAAGCGUGGGGAGCAAAUAGG